GGAAGUAAAAGUCGUAACAAGGUUUCCGUAGGUGAACCUGCGGAAGGAUCAUUACCACACCAUAAAAAACUUUCCACGUGAACCUGUACUACAAGUUUUGCGCUCCAUUGUUUUUCCAUUUUGGGAAUUCAGUAGAGCAGAACGAAGGUUGCUUUAUGAAUUCUUUCCCUCGGGAAGGAACGAUGAACUAACCGAUGUACUUUUCAAACCCCUUACCUAAUUUACUGAUAAUACUCCAGGAACGAAAGUUCUUGGUUUUAAUAGACAACAACUUUCAGCAGUGGAUGUCUAGGCUCGCACAUCGAUGAAGAACGCUGCGAACUGCGAUACGUAAUGCGAAUUGCAGAAUUCAGUGAGUCAUCGAAAUUUUGAACGCAUAUUGCACUUCCGGGUUAUGCCUGGGAGUAUGCCUGUAUCAGUGUCCGAAAAUCAAAAUUGCCUUUCUUUUUUUGUGUAGUCAGGAAAAGAAAUGAGCAGAAUAUGAAGUGUCUCGAUAUAUAUUCUCAUUGAGGAUAAUAAUUGAGUCCUUUUAAAUGGACACUGUCUCUCUAUUUGUUAUUGUAACAUGUAGUAUACGAGCGUAGGUUGAUCUAUUGAUCACUUGCGCAUGUUGACUGCUUUAUCAAGAACAUUAUAGGGGAAACCACGAUUUGCGGUAUGUUGUAGCUUCGGCUCGACACUGUUGCUUAUUGUGUGUGGACUCUGUUUUUGUUUAAGGCUAUUGACGUGUGUAGGACGAUUGUGGAUGUAUGCUUAUGUAAGUGUAUUACUAUCAGUGACGGUUGAUAUGGAUUCUUUUUGAAAAAGUAUUGAUUAAUGUAGAGUGUACAGUUUGAUUGGGAAAUUAAUAUGGUGCUUCGGCGCUGUAUCUCAAUUGGACCUGAUAUCAGGCAAGACUACCCGCUGAAUUUAAGCAUAUCAUAGCC
rnacentral:rRNA from 1 species